UAGGUGAAAGGGGAAAGAAGUAGGUUUUGAGGUGAGAGACCGCUAAAAAAAGGGUCCAAGACGUAGUACUUGAUCUAGGAGCCGAAGUUGAUUCAAGGGUUAUAGCCUAGGUUUUCCUUAAGUUGAUUUACCUUCUUUACAGUCGUUCCUUCUCCUUGUUGGUUGUAGACGAAGGUUUACUUCUCUUACCCUUAUUAGGAGGGUUUUCUUUCUUCCUACAGUCGUUACUUCUGUUGGAGGUCAACAAACAAUUUAAAGACAGACUUGAAUUACUAUGAGUCUUCUUGUAUCAAGCUUUUGAACCGAAGCGAAGUGACGAUGCUUAGUCGACACGGACGUUGUAACUACUAUAAAAGUACACCGAACGUAAUGUUAAGUUAUGACGUUGUACGUGAGACCUCGACUCCUUACCUAAGUUAAAACUUAAGUUGUGUAGAUAACAAGUAUUUUAGGAACCUUAAGGACGACCACCGAAUGGUUAUUUAAGAUGUGGUUGGUUUCUUACACAUCUAUAAUAGUUAUUGAAACAUGUUAGUAGUCGUGGAUGAUAUCUCGUAGAAUAACGCUACUAAUGCCUGUUGUAAAGGCUUCUUUUAAAGAGAUGAUAUAAGAACGAGGAGCGAUAGAGUUCGAACUAACGAGGAUUACGCUUUCCAAGGGGUAGUUUCUUUAAGAUGUCACGAGACGUUUUGUAAUCAAUACGACCGUUUAUGUUGACCACGGAAAGUUGAGAUAGGAUGGAUCAUGUAGUUUAUUUUUUUUAAUUCAGUCCAGUAGUGGUCUUCUUCCGUAAAAUAGGACCUCCUACGUUUGAUUAGAACCACCAACGCGUGAAGCUUAAGAAUUAAUGAAGACUUAAGUUCAAGGGAUAGCUGUAUGACGGUUCUGAGGGUAACACCAGUAGAUCGAACGAUUUUUGAAAGUGUCGGGAUCUGUGUUACGUGCCACAUGUGGAAGUCAAGCCUUCUGAAGGCAACUUUGUAUAAAGUAGUUGAGGUAAGUUGUUAUAUAGUUUACUUCCUUAUUUGUUUGAGGGAUGUACAUAAGAUGUCAUGUAGUCAAGGUUUAAAGGCAGUUAGAUGUUGAAUGUCCUCUUCCGUGACGAACUUCUAUACUGGUUCUUUAAAACCGUUUGCUAUUAUAGUUUGAGGUAAGGUUGUUGCCUUUCUAUGUAACUACUAGAGGUAAGCUGUUAGAGGUUCUCAAAGUGGGUGUAGUUGUUACUUUACUGUCUCAGACGUUUACUUGUUUAAUGUAGGGGCUUGUUGGUGUAAAGUAAUGUGGUCGUUCGACUUGUUUAGAUGAGUUUGUUUAUGAAGUUCCUAGGUUGUUGAAAAAAUAGCAGUGUACUAAAGGACCUAAAGCGUUACGGAAUGUCAUUAGGAGGUUUGACCCUUUUCCUUCUACCUCUAAGUAGAUAAGUUACCAACCUGUUCUUUAAGAGUGUCACGGAGGAAAAUCUUUUGAGUAGUCCGUAACUACUGGACAAAGUCUUUUCCAGUGGUUGGAAACUUCUAAACAAGCAGUAGCUAUUUUAUUUAUUUGUUAUACUGAUGGGUCUAUAACUAAAGGAGGUUCAUGAGUUUCUAAUGUAGAUAUGUGUGUGUCUUCGCUUACCCUACGUUCUUUGUCUGUUUUAACUAACGUGUUUUCUCUUUAAGACAAACUGGGUUUACUUUAAGCAAUCUGGAUUAGUAUUGACGUCUCUAUCGUUUGACAUGACAAACGUUGUUCCAUGCCUAAGUUGUUGAUGCCAACGGGAUCUACAAAGGUCCUUAUACUUUACGAGCGUUAGUCGUGGAGGAUGGUCUUCAAAAGGUUGGUGAGUUUUGAUGUUGGACCCAUCAUGUAGGUUACGCACACUUGGUGUUUUAAGUCUAUAACUGUAGGGAAGAAAAUGGCGAUAUUGUCUGUCGGACUUUAAAUCAGGGAUACGUUCUUCAGGGUUUGUUAAUGGUUCGUUUAAUAAGUGGAGGAUCAACAAGUAGUUAGGAAGGGUUUUGGUUGAUACUUAGAGAACAUUCCUUAAGUCCAUCGUUGUUAGUCAAGGAGAUAUCGUUGUCGGGCGAAUCCACGAUAGUGUUAAGAAGUCUUUUUCGUCGGUUGUCUAAGCCAUGUGGAUAUGGUCUGGGAUAGUACAUGGUUCAGGACCUUCUAAUACUUCGACUUACAAACGAGUCUCUAUUUCGUCGUCGUCUCGUCGGUGGUGACGUCUUGAAGAGAAGUCGUAGUUUUAACGUGUAUUGUUGAGUCGAGUUAAGCCUUGUUCAAUAAAAGAGUUGUCGUCGAGUUCGUCUAAAGAAGUUUUACUACAGCAGUGAAGAUGGAGUAUAUCUGUAGUCGGUUUCCUAUAAGGUUUAUCUAUUGCACACCCAGCUAGUUUUUUGAAACUGACAAAGUUACUCCGGUCCGCCGACCUACUUGGGUGUGUGAAACCUAACGAUAAGAUUUUACGAGUUGUGUCUAGAUGAGUUAGCCCCUUCCGUCCCAGAUUAUGGUUCGUUACUUGGAUAACAGGUAUAGCAGCCGUGUCUUCUGUACCUUGAAGAUUACUCUGGGAAUGAUUUGGUAAGUCUAGGUUAUACGCGUCUGUACAAUUCGCUUCGUUGACAACCCAAGUCAAAUGUCUUGCGUUUGAAGCAAGUAGACGGAACGAAGUUACUGUUUGUCACCUAACAUUAGUGACGAUUGAAACUGUCACCGUUUAAGAAACUAUAUUACUUGGGACUACCUAGACCUUUGUUGUUUAAGUGAAGUUAAUAGUCGUGACAAUGUAAGUUGAAGUUCUCAGACAAACGCUUUUGUAUGGGUUUAACGUAGCGUAAGUUGUAUUUUCUUAAACUGAUGGCAAAGCAAGGUCAUGGGGCCUGAGUAAAGUCCAUGCUGUGGCCGUAUAAGGAGGACGUUUAAGAUUUUUGUAUGGCCCCCUACCCUCACGGUCCUAAGUGUUGAGUACUGGAUGUCCGGAAUUCUCUUUAAAAAGAGAUGCUUUAACGCUGAACAAGGUUGUCACUUCAAGUUGAUGGUAACCAGUUUCGAAAGGUUGUUUUAGUGCCAAAGGCCGAUAAGUCCACUUAGUUAUGAGUCGAAUUGGGUCCAAGUUCUAUGUUCUACUGGUGUAAAAGUAGCGUAUUUGUUAAAAGAGGUAAAAUGAAAAACGAGAUGGUUUGCUCUUGAAUAAAGGAAGAGCACGAUGAACUUACUUCUUUUACAACUCCCCCAGUAACAAGUUUUGUUCAGACUUAUAAUAAAAAAACAAGACGACAUGAUUUGUAAGUUACGAAGGAAGAGACAAACUAAUGGAAUUGAUAUAAUUUUCAUCAGUAAAAAACAAAUUAUUAAUGAAGAGGUUUUGUCUCCGUGCUCGUUUUAGACGAAUGAAAAGAAAGUUUUAUAAAUUAUUCUUUUAAGUUAAAGAAAUAAAAAUAAGUGAGAAACAUAAAAAAUAAAUAGAUUUUCUGCUCUGUUUUUUUUGAAAAAAUUUUGUUUUUUUAUCCUCACGAGCGACU
rnacentral:rRNA from 1 species